UACGUAGGGUGCAAGCGUUGUCCGGAAUUAUUGGGCGUAAAGAGCUCGUAGGCGGUUCGUCGCGUCGGCUGUGAAAUCCCGAGGCUCAACCUCGGGUCUGCAGUCGAUACGGGCGGACUGGAGUUCGGCAGGGGAGACUGGAAUUCCUGGUGUAGCGGUGAAAUGCGCAGAUAUCAGGAGGAACACCGGUGGCGAAGGCGGUGGUCUGGGCCGGAACUGACGCUGAGGAGCGAAAGCGUGGGGAGCGAACAGG
rnacentral:rRNA from 1 species